rnacentral:misc_RNA from 1 species
AAGUCGUAACAAGGUUUCCGUAGGUGAACCUGCGGAAGGAUCAUUAAACGUAUCCAACGUUAAAACAACAGCCCGUGAAAACAGCAAUCCCUGGUAAAUCAUUGUUGACCAGCUUUUGAGUCAGGGACCUCUGCCGAUUGUGAUAUUUUAUAGCUACGGUUGAGCGAUUGCAUCUAGUGACCUGGCAUCCCCAAGUAAUCAGUGUCUGAAAGUGUCAUUGAUUAUGUAAGGAUGGCGCAGUCACGAUCGCUGUAGGCCCACACGGCCGCACCGGGCUCUGCCCCUUUACGACAACACAGUACCGUGAAAUUC